UACGGAGGAUGCAAGCGUUAUCCGGAUUUAUUGGGUUUAAAGGGUGCGUAGGCGGAUAUGUAAGUCAGCGGUGAAACUCACAGGCUCAACCUGUGCCGUGCCGUUGAAACUGUGUAUCUGGAAUGCGGAUGCUGUGGGAGGAAUGUGUAGUGUAGCGGUGAAAUGCGUAGAUAUUACACAGAACACCGAUUGCGAAGGCAUCUCACAAAGCCGUUAUUGACGCUGAGGCACGAAAGUGUGGGGAUCAAACA
rnacentral:rRNA from 1 species